rnacentral:rRNA from 1 species
GACGAACGCUGGCGGCGUGCUUAACACAUGCAAGUCGAACGGUAAGGCCCUUCGGGGUACACGAGUGGCGAACGGGUGAGUAACACGUGGGUGAUCUGCCCUGCACUUCGGGAUAAGCCUGGGAAACUGGGUCUAAUACCGGAUAGGACCACUGCCUGCAUGGGUGGUGGUGGAAAGCUUUUGCGGUGUGGGAGGGGCCCGCGGCCUAUCAGCUUGUUGGUGGGGUGAUGGCCUACCAGGGCGACGACGGGUAGCGGGCCUGAGAGGGUGACCAGCCACACAGGGAAUGUGAUACGGCCCAAACUCCUACGGGAGGCAGCAGUGGGGAAUAAUGCACAAUGGGCGCAAGGCUGAUGCAGCGACGCCGCGUGAGGGAUGACGGCCUUCGGGUUGUAAACCUCUUUCAGCACCGACGAAGCGCAAGUGACGGUAGGUGCAGAAGAAGGACCGGCCAACUACGUGCCAGCCGCCGCAGUAA